AUUGCACGCUGGCGGCAGGCCUAACACAUGCAAGUCGAACGAGUGGCGGACGGGUGCGUAAUGUCUGGGAAACUGCCUGAUGGAGGGGGAUAACUACUGGAAACGGUAGCUAAUACCGCCUACCAUCGGAUGUGCCCAGAUGGGAUUAGCUAGUAGGGGGGGUAAAGGAUCACCUAGGAGACGAUCCAUAGCUAGUCUGAGAGGAUGACCAGCCACAAUGGAACUGAGACACGGGACAGACUCCUACGGGAGGCAGCAGUGGGGAAUAUUGCACAAGGGGCGCAAGCCUGAUGCAGCCAUGCAGCGUGUAUGAAGAAGGCCUUCGGGUUGUAAAGUACUUGCAGCGGGGAGGCGUUACCCGCAGAAGAAGCACCGGCUAACUCCGUGCCAGCCGCCGCGGUAAUUC
rnacentral:rRNA from 1 species